AGCAGCCGCGGUAAUUCCAGCUCCAAUAGCGUAUAUUAAAGUUGUUGUGGUUAAAGAGCUCGUAGUUGAAUUUCGGGACUAACAGGUUGGUCGCGCCUUUGGUGUGUACUGGCCUAGUUGGUUUCUCCCUUCUGAAGAACUGUCAUGCCAUUCAGUUGGUGUGGCGGGGGAUCAGGGCUGUUACUUUGAAAAAAU
rnacentral:rRNA from 1 species